AGUUGCCUUAUCGGCAGAGGCUUUUCAAAGCAUUAGAAAAAAUGCUUUGAAAAGUUAAAAAAAAAAAAGUUGGCUACGCCCACCCAGUCACGCCCACAGAACCGGUAGUAACAAAUUUUACAUUUCACCCCUGGAUCAACUAAACAAUUAAUUUCUCAGUUAAUUUACCUCUAACUUUGCUCUACUGGACCUGCUAUUGGAAUUACAAUUUAAUAUACUUUUCUAUUCAAAUUAUUUUUUAAAAAAUGAAAAUAUUGAUCAUUUUUAAAAAUACUUUUUUCCUUAGAUUGACAUUAGUGAAGACAACUCAGUAGUUAAAGAUGAUCAUUGAGGAGAAAGGGAGGAGAAUAUGUUAAUGUUUUCUUUGAGUUGAAUUUGACUGCUGGUGACUUCAAAGACCUGUUCAUGCAAGUUCUCUGCGUAACAGCAUAGAAGCAAUUUACCACAAUUGGUCAACCUCUAGUAGCCUAAUCCUGCUUAGCUUCUUUUUAUCCAAGAUUAUGCUGAAUGCUCCUAUGGAUAGAGAUCUUGCAAAACAAGCUGUGGUUCUUGCAAUUUUAAGCAAUUUAAAGAUUUUUAUUUGAACUGGAACUCAAUUACAUGGGUGCCAAUAAGCAGGAAAGAGUGGAGUAAAUGGCCAGAGUAAGUCCUUAUGAGCAUUUCAUAACUGCCAAACAAGGAAUUGUUUUAUAUUUUAUUUAGGAUUGUUUACAUAAACAAUUGAAGUCUCCAAAAGGGGUAGUGGUGGUUGUAUCUCUCCAGUCUUAUUAAAUUAUUUUUAAAUUCUUUCCUUAGUGUCUUCUUCCAAACUUAACAUUCUAAUGCAUGAGUGUCAAACUCGCGUCAUCACAGCGGCAUCACGUGAUAUAUCGGGAUUUUUUCCCCUUUCACUAAACCAGGCGUGGGCAGGGCCAGCGCGUGACGCAUCCAGCCCAUGAGGGCCGUGAGUUUGACAGCCCUGUUCUAACUGACCUAUAUCUAUUCUAUAGAUAUAGAUAACUGUUCUAACCUUCUUCUAACUGACAUAUAUCUUGACCGAUAUGAAUCAAUAAAAUGUCAACCUACUUUUUCUAUUAAAAACUUAUCAGUUGUGAAAAUUAAAUAAUGCAUGUGAAUACCAGAUGUUUAAGAUAAACAAGAGGAAGAUGUUGACUUUUCCUGAUAAUGCUCCACUUGUAAAUUUCACAAAGGCAUGCAUCUUACUCACUACAGCCUAAUUCUGUUGAUAUACUUCCCUGUUUAUUGGGAGAAGACUGCAAGAGAAAUUAAAGUGAAAUUUGAAGAGGCAGCUUUCCAGUCUGGGCCAGCUGCCUUCCGCUACACUGCCCUCAAGGCUUGUCUAAUACCAUGACAGCAUCUGUUUGUGGGCCAAGUCUCCAUAGCAGAGGCAAGAAUUUUGAAAUGUUGAUCUAGUGCAGCGCCAGUCAUCGAAACACAAAGGCGACGCGGCCAGAAGCGGAUUACUAACAGGAGCAGCGCUCGUCUGCCAAUCCGAUCCUAUUUCCUGGAGUAUUUUCUCACCGGCAGGCGCCAAGUCGCAUUCAGAUUGGUAUUUGAUUCUUGGCUGAUUCUACGGUUUUCAUGACAGGCAGGAAGAGAACAAAAAUGUGUCUUUUCCUCGUUCUCUACUCACAUGGCCAAACAAGGACUGCCUGCGGAUUUUAGGCCUACGUAAAACACCCGGAAGUGUGCAGACUUCUAGCAAAAUGUCACAACGUCUUGCCAAGAGAACAAAUCCAUCUUACCUUUAAAGAUACCGUACUCGAUUUGGGUAUGCUUUGCUCAGUAAACCCACGAGUGAUCUCUGCGGAUACAAAACGGCGUUUCUUCUUUUCAACCUUUUUCUAAUCGUCCUUGCUUCACCCUCCAAUCAGAAUGGACUAUAUUUGCAUAAAUUAGUGCCGAACUCAAAAAGGUUACCGGAUAUCGGCGCCAGCUGCAACAUGCUCUUAUCUCGCGAGGAGCUACACCCAUGUUUUACUGCAUCUUGUGGAAUGAUGAAUCCUUAGCGGGUUGGUUAAGUUUUUCUUUUUUGCACUAUUACGCUUGACUCCUGGCAGCUACUUUUCGGUCCACGCACUUUAAAAGCUGUUCAAAUGCGGCCGCCUUACGGGUUGUAGGGGUGGUUACCUGGCCCACUUUCACUCCACUGGCUUUUUGUAGCUAAGGCAGAAUUAGAGCACAUAGCCCUCCACUUAACCAGACUUAGAAGUGUGUAUGUGGGCGAAUCAAUCUUCGUUCAUGCAGUUUUGAAAUGUGAAACUCUUCAGAAUCUUCAGUUCAGCAAUCUGCAGUAUGUAAUUCAAUCUUCCUUACACCAUCUGGGUCUUACUGGUUUUAACGUUUCCUAUUAGUUUUUUAAAAAUCAUCCCACACCAUCCUACAGGGUCCCUUUUAUAUCAGGAUUUUCUCCCUGCACAGGAAACACUUGAAAAUACUGUUCAUUCAAAAACUAAGAACUUUUUUAAAGGAAAUAUUCAUUCAUGGAAAUCCCAUUGAAUUCAACAAGGCUUACUUCUUGACAAGCAAAUCACCUAACUCUACAAGGGAGACAGAAAAUGUACCUACCAUUUCUGGUGUUUCUAUGUCAUCACAAGCACUGACAUGACACUGCAUCAUCUUGCCAAGCAGAACACAGCACAAAGAAAGGGGGAGGGGAGGAAAUCAGUGAGGAACUUCAAGCAAAAUUUUCUGCUGAACACAUACCCAACAGAGAUCAUCCUUAAUGAGUUUUAAGAAAGUAAACUUACCCGCCU